rfam:Gossypium arboreum cultivar AKA8401 contig_1153_17, whole genome shotgun sequence.
AACCCAUGGCGAGGGCACCUUCUUAAUAAGUGCUUAUAUCUCCCAUGCAUCUUAAAGAGUUUCUAAAUCCAUCUACACAAAAGAAGAGAUAUCAUUCCUUAGUUU